rnacentral:rRNA from 1 species
AUACGGAGGAUGCAAGCGUUAUCCGGAUUUAUUGGGUUUAAAGGGUGCGUAGGCGGACUUUUAAGCGUGAGGUGAAAUGCGCGGGCUCAACCUGUGAACUGCCUCGCGAACUGGGAGUCUGGAAUGUCCGUGCCGUGGGAGGAAUGUGUGGUGUAGCGGUGAAAUGCAUAGAGAUCACACAGAACACCGAUUGCGAAGGCAUCUCACGAACGGAUGAUUGACGCUGAGGCACGAAAGCGUGGGGAUCAAACAGGAUUAGAUACCCUGGUAGUCCACGCAGUAAACGAUGAUAACUAACCGCUGGGCAUUCGUGUUCAGUGGCCAAGCGAAAGCGAUAAGUUAUCCACCUGGGGAGUACGACCGCAAGGUUGAAACUCAAAGGAAUUGGCGGGG